rnacentral:rRNA from 1 species
AGGAUGAACGCUGGCGGUCUGCUUAACACAUGCAAGUCGAACGGAGUACCUCGGUACUUAGUGGCGGACGGGUGAGUAACGCGUGGGAACAUACCCUUUGGUACGGAAUAGCCUCGGGAAACUGGGAGUAAUACCGUAUGUGCCCUUCGGGGGAAAGAUUUAUCGCCAAAGGAUUGGCCCGCGUUGGAUUAGGUAGUUGGUGGGGUAAUGGCUCACCAAGCCGACGAUCCAUAGCUGGUUUGAGAGGAUGAUCAGCCACACUGGGACUGAGACACGGCCCAGACUCCUACGGGAGGCAGCAGUGGGGAAUCUUAGACAAUGGGCGCAAGCCUGAUCUAGCCAUGCCGCGUGAUCGAUGAAGGCCUUAGGGUUGUAAAGAUCUUUCAGAUGGGAAGAUAAUGACGGUACCAUCAGAAGAGCCCGGCUAACUCCGCGCCAGCAGCCGC